UUGUAUAACAUUUACAAAAUAAUUAUUAACGAUCAAUUAGCACGCCGCUGUUAGCACGACGUGUAGUUUGAAAUCAUAAUAACAUUAAUGGUUCACACGCUUGGUCAUAAUUCAUUCAAAAUACAAUAACUGUGACAAGUGAUGUUGAACGGUUUUCAAUUUCCACAUGGACAGAAAAAUAAACAACGAAGAAUUUUUCAUUUUAAUAGUUCCUAUGAUAAUAUUAUGUCAAUACGUGUUCAUAAACUAUGUACGGUAAAUACAAAAUUGUACAUAAUACAGUUAAGUAUGCACGUCAUACUAUUCACGUGAAAUAUGAAGAUUCCCAACAUGUGUAGUUAUACAAUGCAGUCAAAAGUUCUUGUCAAAGCUUAAUUGAAAUAUAUAGAUUUCAUGGUUCCAAUAUGAAACACCUAUGAGGAAUUUUGUAUUCAAUUUUCAAAACUUACAUACAAAAAGAAAAGAUUUUAUACAUUUUUAACUACAAAAAGGUUAAUACCACUGUAACACGCCCUUUUACCUGCGUCGGAUUAAGUCGGACAUCAAUUUUAAAGCACUAUUGUCGCAGUGCACCGAAAUAUGAUGAUUAUCUAUACUACACGUCAUAAUGUGCACAUGAUACUGCACAGUGCGCACGAAUUAACUACUACUGAGAAUAAUGACGUGAACGCUGAUCGUCGAACACGCGUGCUUUUCGGCACUCAUGAAGACUGCAGACGGACGAGUCUGUGUUACCCCAAAAUACAGUAUAAAAUUUUUGGACCCCAGAAAAUAAUUCCUGCCUGGGCCCUCAGGUACUCAGGCCGACCCAGAUUGUAACCUGUAGUAUGAUUAAUAAAAUAUUA